rnacentral:rRNA from 1 species
AAAUAACCAUGAUCCACGUUUAUCUUACCUCGCUUUGAAACGCUUAGUGUGUAUCGGAUCAGCUCGUAUACCGUCGCCGAUAGAUCACCCUUGAGGGGCUUAAAGUGGUCGGGAAGAGAAGUUGAAGGUUGUAGGUUGCUUUUCUACUUACGAGUAAUUGUAUCUGUUAUGCUGUAGGGCUCUUGAGCCCCGCAGUGGUUAGUUUCUCAGGAUGUCAGAUCAAGGUGCAGCUUAUGGCGAGGUGAUGAUGGGUUACAAUAACUUAUUUGUUAUACGGAUUUUUUGCUGUAAUGCGGAAUUUAAAAGGCGGACUUGGAUGUUAAAUGUUGAAUUAGGAAGUCAUAGUGAACCUAGGUUUUGGAGAUGUGUACAAAAUCGCCCCGGCGCUCCGUUGAAAAAAUGAGAUAAUCCCUAAGAUGGGUAAGGGGGUUACU